rnacentral:rRNA from 1 species
UACGUAGGGGGCAAGCGUUGUCCGGAAUCAUUGGGCGUAAAGCGCGUGUAGGCGGUUCUGUAAGUCUGCUGUGAAAGUCCAGGGCUCAACCCUGGGAUGCCGGUGGAUACUGCAGGGCUAGAGUACGGAAGAGGCGAGUGGAAUUCCCGGAGUAGCGGUGAAAUGCGCAGAUAUCGGGAGGAACACCUAUUGCGAAGGCAGCUCGCUGGGACGUUACUGACGCUGAGACGCGAAAGCGUGGGGAGCAAACAGG